rnacentral:rRNA from 1 species
AAGCAUCGGCUAACUCCGUGCCAGCAGCCGCGGUAAUACGGAGGGAGCUAGCGUUGUUCGGAAUAACUGGGCGUAAAGCGCACGUAGGCGGACUUUUAAGUCAGGGGUGAAAUCCCAGAGCUCAACUCUGGAACUGCCUUUGAUACUGGAAGUCUUGAGUCCGAGAGAGGUGAGUGGAACUCCGAGUGUAGAGGUGAAAUUCGUAGAUAUUCGGAAGAACACCAGUGGCGAAGGCGGCUCACUGGCUCGGUACUGACGCUGAGGUGCGAAAGCGUGGGGAGCAAACAGG